CAUAAAAUUCGCUGAAAGUUCGCUUUCGCUCCAUAAACUAUGAAGGGAAAAGGUACAUAGAAAAUAGUAUUUUCAAUGUGUGCCACCCUUGUCUUCUUUGAUAUGUUUCGAUGUAUUAAAAUGUUUCCAGUAAAGUCCAUAAUGUGCAUUGCAGAGGUGUUGCGAUGCUGCUUAGAAAUUGUUUCGCUGGAAGAUGGGAAGGAGAUACAGGGUUGCGCCGCAGGAACGUGAGCGACAAAACAGUUGUCAAAUCAGGAUUUGAAUGACGCCUUCAACAAACGUUCACGGAAAACAGUCUUGGGCUGAGUAUGCUGUUUCUUCAACAAAAAAGAGCAUGACAGUUUUGGACCAUGGACCGAUAUUGGUCCCAAAAGGAAGAAUUGGAGAUACUGAUGUUCUGCAGCUGUUGUCAACAGGACCUGGUAGUCCUCAUACAUUUACAGAAUUCUCCAGCUGCCAGGCCUUCCUGAAGUGGGCGUCAGUGAAACCACAGGCACAUCCACGAACCCCAGAAGCCUUGGUGCAGAGUUGAAGUAAAAUAUGAACUGAUGAUCUGAGGAUGAGAACAAACAAUAUCCACAUCGUUGGGAUGUUCAGAAUCACCCAGGAUAUCUUUGUAGAGUGGCAAAAUCUGGCAAACUUACUGGACCGUUUUUAUGGGACACCCUGUAUGCUGGUUGAGGCAUUGGCACAUACAGCACUGUUGUUCUAAAGUUUUGAGUGUAGACUUGACUGUCACAGAGUGAGGUCUGACUGAUUAUGUGUAGUUUUUGGUGGCUGUGAAGUUUCUGUCACCAUGGUCUUCAGGUCCUGAUCCCACAUGAUUAUAUCGGUGCUCCCACUUGACCCACUUCACUCAUAAACCAAUCAGCAGGCCAGAAUCCAAUCAACCACUUACAGAAGCAACUGAAGUCAGUCAAGGGUAAGUCAAGUUUAAGAAUGCAUAACACAUACAGUAGUAACACAUGGUACAUGGAUACAUAGAUCAGUCAAAUUAUACAGAAUAAAGGGUCUUGGUCUGCAUGUCUAUGCAUUUCUUUUGCAUUUCUAUCUAUUCCUUCAUUUUCCUGUUUUAGGAAGUGCUAUUCUCUUGGACUCCCUGUGUAGUCAUUUAUCCACACAUCUAUGAUUUUCUUCAUACACUCUGUGUGAUGUUGUGGCCCAUUAGAUCUGCCUCAGGGUAGCCUACAGUGGUUGGGUACUAAUGGGGUGUGAUCUCCACAGUUCACAAUCAUACUCACACACACGCACACAGACACACACACACACUGUUUACACAGUGGGAAUGAGAGAGGAGUUGAAAAGGACUGAUGGCUCCUUUGUGACCACUUAGGGGAUCAUGUAUUUUUACGCUCCACUGGCGGCUUUUGAGUGUGGGAAUGUGUGUGCGUGCUUGUUUGUGUGUAUGCAUGGACGCAUGUGUUUCCUUUCAAUUGGACAUGAGUUCUGUGCCAAUAUGUUUUACUGUGCAAAAUAUGUUUUGAUGAGGUAUCUAUGCAAUACCAGUUGUCUUGUCAUGAUUUACAGUAAUGAAAUGAGUGUACAUAUACAUGCAUCACCUAAACAAACCACCUGAAGUGUGAUAGACCCUAGAAUCGAAGGGAUUGAAGGGGAUUGCUGGUGACAAAUGAGCAAUGUGAUGUCAUCUGACACCCUGAUGUAGAGAGUACAGAUGCAGCCUGGGAACAGCAGGCCCUCUUCACAUCAGAAGCUCUGAGGUUAAGAUGGGAAUCUGCCGAGUUCAGAGACUGGGGGCUUUUCACUUUCAUAGGCUGAUAAAAUAUACACACAUUUGCACAAAUGCACUAGCAUAUACACACGCAUGCACGCACGCACGCACGCACACGCACACACACACACACACACACACACACACACACACACACACACACACACACACACACACACACACACACACACUGGCCUGGGAACAGUCACAACUGCUUAUUAUUAUAGGAUCCUAUUGUAGUCAUAUACACCCACAGUCGCCGCUGCGUACACAGCACUCACACAUGGGAAUGUACACAGUGUUGAGUAUCUCUGUUUGUAAGAGUGAUUUGCUUUGAUGGCCUCAGGCUGACACUGUUGUUGUUUUCCUGUUGAGAUUGAGCCAUUUUAGAUUGAAACUAGAGGGGGUUUAGAGCUGGACCCAUGCCAGUCACACAGACAGAAAGAGAGAGGGAGAGCUGGAGCUGAGCAGAAAUUUCACAUCCAAAAUAAAAGCUUGGAAUUCUGUCAACCAGUGUUCCAUUUCUUUUAAGGGGAGCCACAUGAGCUAAAUAAAAUGAGGGAAACGUGGGAGGGAGAGGGAGAGGGAGAAAAAGACGAGAGAGAAACAAGAAGAGCCAAGAGACAUGCAUAAAAAGAGGAUAGACGGAUAUAAAGACGUGGAGAGCAAAAGAUGAAGGACGAUAGAGCAGGGAGGAUGGGAGGCCUUGGGUAUGCAUGAGAGGAGGAAAGUGAGGGAGGUAGAGAGGAAGGAGGGCUAGUAAAACAGGAUGAGAAGUCUCUCAGACAGAAAAGGGAUUUCUCCUCAGGAAAUUACUUUCACACAGUUUUUACAGGCUGCCAAGAAACACUUUUAGUAGCUUACUGUAUAUGGUUGUACUACAAUAGAAAUACACAAAAUUGUAAGAUAUGAAUGUUUUGUUAGUUGAUUGUAAUAGGAACGACUUAAUUUGGCUUAUCAUACUAAAGUUACUGUUUAAUGUGUGUAUUGCUCUUUUCUACACACAUAAUUCCAAUUGAGUGCUCACUGUUGCAAGUACAUCAAAAUAAUUGUGGACAUUAAAAAGUGCUUUCCCACUAGGCACAAACUGGUUGAAUCAACAUUGUUUCCACAUAAUUUAAUCAAAAUUCAAUGCAAUGACGUUGAAUCAACAUGGAAAACGGAUAAAACUGAUUGAAUUUGCAAAAAGUAAAUAACGCAAAGACAUUUUGGGAACGUUUGUCUUUUUUCCUUAACUUCACUAGGGUAGGGGACAGCAUUCGGAAUUUUGGAUGAAAAACAUGCCCAAAUUAAACUGCCUUCUACUCGGGCCCACAAGCUAGGAUAUGCAUAUAAUUAGUAGAUUUGGAUAAAAAACACUCUAAAGUUUCCAAAACUGUUCAAAUAAUUUCAAGGUUUUUGGUUUUUGGACAUAAAGAUUAACUUUAUCGAACAAAACACACAUUUAUUGUGUAAAAUGAAGUCCUGUGAGUGCCAUCUGAUGAAGAUCAUCAAAGUGUAGUGAUUCAUUUAAUCGCUAUUUCUGACUUUUGUGAGCCCUCUCCUUGGCUGGAAAAUGGCUGUAUGGUUUUCUGUGACUAGGCGCUGACCUAACAUAAUCGCAUAGUGUGCUAUCUCCGUAAAGCCUUUUUGAAAUCGGACACUGUGGUUGGAUUUACAAGACGUUUAUCUUUAAAAUGGUGUAUAAUACUUGUAUGUUUGAGGAAUGUUAAUUAUGGGAUUUCUGUUGUUUUGAAUUUGGCGCCCUGCAAUUUCACUGGCUGUUGUCGAGGUGGGACGCUAGCUUUGACAUUUUUUUCCUAACUUGUACCAGAGAGGUUUUUAAACUUUUAUCCUAAAUCCAAUGACAUAUUUAACAUUUUUGUUGAUAUCACGUUGAAUUCACAUUAGAUAACAAUUCAAUGAAAUGUUAUUCAAAACAUAACUUUGAACUGAUGUCUAUGUCUAGUGGAUUAUCUUUAAUAAAGUCAUAUUGAAGAGUAGUUGUGCUGAUGCUGCACUAUAUUCAUACAAUCAUCUAUCCACUGCACCCAGAGCAUAAAUCGAAGUGGCAGACCAGUAUGUAUCAGUCACCACUCCGCAGACCUCAUCUCUCAGUUAAGACAAAUUAUUUGUGUGUGAUCACCAUCAUGAAAACAGUUUUGAAUUAUGUUGCAUCGACCAUCUCUUUAGCCGACCAAACAAAACAAUACCAAGAAUAUACUGUAGUACAGCAUGGGCCAAGUACAGCAUGGUCAAGGGCAGGGGGCAUAAUGUAGGUCUAUGCUUGCUUUCCAGUCCUCUACUGUGUCACACCCUGACCAUAGUUUGCUUUGUAUGUUUCUAUGUUUUGUUUGGUCAGGGUGUGAUCUGAGUGGGCAUUCUAUGUUGUGUCUAGUUUGUCUGUUUCUGUGUUUGGCCUGAAAUGGUUCUCAAUCAGAGGCAGGUGUUAGUCAUUGUCUCUGAUAGGGAACCAUAUUUAGGUAGCCUGUUUGGUGUUGGGUUUUGUGGGUGAUUGUCUCCUGUGUCAGUGUUUGUUCCACACGGGACUGUUUCGG
ensembl:lncRNA